rnacentral:tRNA from 1 species
GGAGACGUGGCCGAGUGGUUGAAGGCAGCGGUCUUGAAAACCGCCGAGGGUUCGCGCCCUCCGUGAGUUCGAAUCUCACCGUCUCCGCCA